rnacentral:lncRNA from 1 species
GGGCAUUAAGAAGGGAAAAGGUUUAGAACUGGAUAUGACUAAAAGGAUUAAACAAUUGUCGAGGACAAUCUAAGGUUUACCAAAGAUUGGUUACUCAAGGACAAUUGGAAGUAUAGUGAUAAUUCUGGAAGGACCAUAUUGACAUAAUCUGUAAGGAGGCAACUCUUGUUCAGAAGUGAUAGUCAAAAUGGAAUCUGGAAAUGUUUCAAAGUUAGAAUUUUCAAUCUGUGUAAGAUUAAGGAAACUUAAUGCAAGAAGGAUAUUUCCAAGGAGUUGAUCUCCUUUGGAAUACUCUGUAAUGAUUGUUGCCAAGUCUUUGUGACUUUGUGCAUAAUCAUUACAAGAGGAUCAAUGCAUAUAAGUUUAGAAUCUAACAGAUUUCAGUAAAUGGCAUGAAUUUGGAAUUCUUGCAUUUGCAGUAAGGAUUUGGGAGUGUGAAAAGAGAAUCAUUGAAGUUAUGUUCAAUUGAUCUAGUUCACAAAGUAAAGAUCAUAGACAAACAUAGUAUGCAUACUUGGUGUGUGGCAUGACUAGUGUUUAAGAAAACAUAGUGUACAUGCUUGGAGCAUGGGACAACUAUUGUUUUAAAUUCAAGAAUAAAGUUGAUAGCUGAAACAGUAUACAAUGAAUAAUGUGUAAUCAUAUGGUGAUAAAUAAAAGGUGUUUUAUUUAUGUUCAAAGGGUUGAUACCAUAUUGGAUUCAAUUAUUAUUGUGUUUCAUUUUGCAUGUUUUGACUUCCCGAAUAAACUGGGUUAUUCUUCCGGAAUGACUAAGUUAUUCAAACCAUCCACAGUCGGUCAUAUGUUGGAAGUAGAUAUGAAUUAAGACUGUCAUGGGUUGGCUUGUAGAGGUCUAAGGUGUUGGACAAAGGGCUACAACACUCAUGAGUGCUCAUAAGUUCUGAGUAUUGGAUUCAACCCGCGCUCAUUGGAAUCACUUCAUGGAUUUUAUCACGAGUGAUCAUGAGACGAUAAUAUCUUAUAUUCUUCAAACCUAGAGAUAUGAGUUGUUACUAUGAGUUGAUAGUACAUUGAUUGCACGAAAACGCAUUUGGUAACUCGGUGCUAUAAAACGUGCCUUUGUGUAUGAUUCAACAAGUAGUAGAACAAGCCAUAUGAGUCGAAGUUUAUCCAUUCCUUUUACCUUCGGGAUAAAAGCGAUAUCUGUGGGCCCCUCGAUGAUUUGAUGAUGACAAAUGGAAGUGCUCGGCCGGGCCAGGACUGAUUUGAUUUGUUCAAUUAGUCAGUCGUCAUAAAUCGGAAAUCGGGAAACAACAAAUGGACAGAGAGAAUGAUUAUAAUCCAUGUCUCAGUCCAUAUGAUAUCUAGAAUGGAGGAAUAUAUGAUCCCUUAUCUAAUGGACAAGUCAUUGACAAAGGUCAGAGUUCAUCUACAAGGUCAGAGUUCGACAGAAGCUUUUGAGAGCUACGAUUGCCAGUUGGUUCCUGAAGUCAUACGCAAUAAUAGUUUUAGACUUAUCCAAGUGGGAGACUGUUGGAUUAAUGUCUAAGUCCAUAACUAUAAUUGGUAAGACUUGACCCGACCCGGCAUGGUCCAUUUGGGUUGCAUACCAUCAUGCACUUGGAUAGACUAUAAUGAGAGAAAUAAGACACUUAUGGUUAUUAAUAUAUUAUAAGUUCUAGUAUAUUAAUAAUAAGAAUAAUAAGAUUAUUUAAUUAGUAUUGAUCAAGAAUUAAUCUAGGAUUAAUUAAGUGAUCAAAAGAAGACUAAUUAAAUAUAUGGGUUGAUUGUGUAAAUCAUCCAUACUUGUAUAGUGGGCUAAUGCUCCAUGGAUAAUCAAGUUGGGCUAAAACCCAUAGGAUGGUCCAUGGAUGCUCCAUGGUGUAUUUGUACCCAUGGAUCCAAGGAAAUGGAAAGCCAUGACAAUUAAGAGUUUACCCUAAUUGUGUAACUAUAUAAGCAUCUUAUUAUUGAGGAAAAAUCGGCCACUAGUGAUAGUGAAGAAAGGGCUAGCCGAUUUUGAAGAGUGUAGAAUUCUCUCAAGUCAUUCCAAGUGUUUUGAUGAUUGUGAUUCCAUUUGAGGUGUCACACUUGGGGCACUAGGCACUCAAGCUUCAUGAAGACUUUCUACAUCAAAGAGGUAUGUAUUCUAUCUUGUUAUAGUCAUUGUUUUGUAUGCUAGAUUAGGAUAAUACCUUGGAAGUUCUUAUUUGCAUGUAUAAUAGAGAAAACAUAGAUCCAAGGUAUUUAGGGUUGCAUGUACACUUAGGAGUGUUAGAAUGCUCAAAACCCAACAGUGGUAUCAGAGCCUAGGCUUGUUUUCUUGUUAUACCUGCAAUAGAAGCUGAAAAAACGAAUCUGGUGCUGUCUGGCCAUCAGACUCGGCGAGUCCAUCAGGAGACUCGACGAGUCCAUGCCUAAAAAGUGAUGAAUUCGAUCCAACUCGCCGAGUUUGUUCAUGCACUCGACGAGUUGGACCCCCAGACAGCAUAUUUUCGAGUUUUUUGGCUAGAAAUGGACUAGGAACAUUACCCUAAGUUGUUUUUGAACUUAUAAACUUGUUUUUGAUGUGGUAAUGUUCAUGCUAAUCCAUUUUCAAAGAUAAUUGUCAAUAGAUUCAUGUUUUGUAUUAGUUUAAGGUUUAGACUAAUUACAUGAAAAAGUUUGAUUUGAAUUAUCUUGUUCUUAUGAGUUGCUUAGAUUAAUAGAAAUGUUGAGUGAAAUAGUUGUUUUCAAUCCAUUUUAAUCUAAGAGUUGAGUAUAAAAUGUGUUUGUGUAACUUGUCCUCAAGUUACAUGAAGAGUCACAUUAAAGACUCAUAAAACUCAUAAAAGUUGGCAAUGGUUACAAAAUGAAGAGUCUUGUGUCAUUGAAUAAUUUUUUUUGACUCCAUAACUUGUCCUCAAGUUAUGGAAGUUCAAGAGUCACUUCAUUAAAGAAAAAUAUGUAACCAUAAUUAAAUCCAUAAGUUAUAAAAUAAAGAAAAAGUUAGUUCUUUUAUUAGUUUAAAGUCUUCCAUAACUUGUCCUCAAGUUAUGGAACUUGAAGAGUUUUUGGAUUAAAACUACUUUAAACACAUAAGUUAUGGAAUUAAUUAGUUUUGAAUAGUUUCAAAACUUGCCCUCAAGUUUUGGAAUUUGAAAAGUUUUCAAGUAUGAAUACUUUAAUUCCAAGUUAGCCCUUAGAAUUUUAAAAGUUAAAAUUCAACCCUUAUACUUUAUAAUAUUAUAAGUUAAUAAUAUAUAUAUGUAUAAGAGUAAAGUCAGUCUUACCGCUAGUACGCCUCAUUCACGAAGCCGGUCUAUAAGGUGGGUAUAAGGUUGUUGCCUAUAAAAUGGCAACUUAAUGGGUGUCCACUCUCACCCACCGCUUGCUUGACUGGUGGAGGGUCGUUAGCCGAACGGGUUUGACAGGACUAGAAUUCUCCCUUCAUUAAAAGUAUUAAUGAUAAUACUAAGUAACUAAACUCUUAAUAAUACCCAAUCUUAGUUACUUAGGAAAAAUGUGAAUAAGGUGCUAAUCCAUGAAAUUACACUUUACACUUUGUCUAAGUCGUUAGUGGAGCGUGUGUGGUUAACCGGCACACUAACUUGGACUUAACAAGGUAGGUAAAGGGUGACUUAAUAUUUAUCAUAGUAUCGAUGGAGCGUGUGUGGUUAACCGGCACAUCGAUUGAGGGGUAAUUUAUUAAGGGUACCAAGUGAUUUGCAUGGUUACUUCACACCUUGUUUUGUGAUCCUCGGCAUCCCAGUCACAAAACCUGAAGGGCACACUCGAGAUUGAAACAUGCCUUUGAAAAGUUCAAUGAAUCUCAAAGAUCUAGGAGUUUCAAAACCAAUUAAAACCUAAUAAUACAUUUCGUUUAUCUUGGUGGAAAUUGGUGAAUCGUCAUUCACCUACCUUCAAAUAUUUUAUAGCUUGGAUUACGGCAUACCUCUUCUAAGUUAUAAAAUAGUUUGUUGGGUCCUAGCCUUAAUAUUUCAUAUUGGGUGUCAUAUUAAGGACUUUAAAUCAACUAUCUUGAAUAUCUCCCAAAAGAUGUCUGGUUUAGACACCUAUGAUCUUCCCAAAUCUCUUGAAACAAGGUUUCCUAAUGAAGAUGAUGUCCCAUGGAUAUCAUACUUCUUCACCUCUUCAAAUUAUUCUCCCUAACCCACAAGUUCUUGAAAAGUUUAAGGUCACUCAGGCCCUAUUAGCAAGGCAAGGUCUAGGUGUGGUCACAUCUUGGAGAUGUAGUCACAUAUUGACAAGCCGGGAGAGUUGGGUGUCAAAGUCUUGAGAAAGUUGGUGGUUCAACCACUUUCUAAGUCACAUAGUGAGUUCCUUUGGGACACCUAUGAAACAGACUAUGACAAGACCCUUAAUGAUCUUAUCUAUUUGCUAAGAUCAACUUCCUAAAACUUUAUGGACAUUGACAAUGAUGACAUUGGAUAUCCAGUAAAGCAUUCUCUUCCCAAUGGAAAGGGAUCGGCCAUAGUCAACUCGGUUGACCAAAUGGUAAAGAGAAAAGCUAAGUCUGUGAUAGUCCCGUGUACCAUUAUCAAAGGGUCCAUAUGUUUAUAUUGCCAAAGGAAGGGGCAUUGGUUGCGAAGCUGCCAAAUUUACCUAAGGAUGUUAAAGUCAAUAAGUUUGACUCUACUUCAGGUAAAGUCCACUAUCUAACUCUGUUAAGUUUCUAUUCUGAGAUUCUUGAUACAUGAUGUGACUGGGUCACAUGGUGAUGUUUUAAGAAUCAAAGAAAAGUGAAGAAACUUAAAGAAAGAAUAUGCUGAAUCUGAUGGCGUAGAUGGAUUUCUAUCGCAUAGUUUGAAGAUCGGAUUCUUGAGCUACUUCUUAGGAGUUAUGAGAUAUUGCUUAGGAAUAGAUAACAACAAGUUUUCAUAUGGAUUGUAAGGAUAAGUUUUUCCGCAAAGUUUUAAAAUAAAAGAAAAUUUUUUUGAUUUUAUUUAUUUUAAAAUAUCCUUACAAUGGCUUUUGAGGAAAAAUUGUUGCUUAUAUGAUUCCAUUAAGAGCAAGAGUGGAAAUAUGAAAUUGAUUCUUUCAUUUGUGGUAAUGUCUAGAUUUACCAAAUAAGGAAAGAUUCUCAUCACCCAAGUUUCAAUUGGACCGGAACUUGGAAUCAUGCAAGUUGUAUAGCAUGAUGAAUGAGAACUUUCAAGUUUUGGAAAAUUAAGACUAAUUACUUGUUCACAUGGAUGUGUGAGUCAAGUAAAGGACUAAGGGAUCGAGUACACAUUCUUGUGCACUGAUUAAGUCCACCACUAAAGAUCGAUAAGAAGAAUCAAAUAAGGCAGAAGGAUAAAAGUUUCUCAAAUCUGAAAAGAUGGGAGAGUACUUUAGUAUCAGUUUUGUGAUCAUCUUAAUGAUUAAGAAACCAUAUCAAAAUUAGUUCUCUAAGGAAAUCUUAGUGCAUUCUUAUGACUAAGAAGAGGAACUUGAAUUGUUGAAAUGGUUAAAUCAAGAAGAUGAGUCAUACUUCGUUCCAAUACAAGUCUUAGAGUCAUACUCCAAGAUUGUCAUUUGAGUGACAUGUCUUAAAGAAGGUUUAAAACACUUGUCAAAUGUAAGAGUAAAAGUUUUCUACUCUUGUACAUUUGAAAUUGGUAAGUUGUGAUGUUUUGGAUAAAACAAAGACCAACUUAGGCCAAUUGGGUAAAGUGUUUUUCUUGAUUAGAAUCCGCACUAUCUCUUGGAUGUUUGACAAGGGAGUCUUAUAUGUCAAGAGGACAGUGGGAGUCUUAAAGGUCUUGAAAGUCUCAAGAAAUAAUCAAGAAUAAAACCUAAAGUUCUUCACUAGCACACGACUUGAGGUUUAUAACCUAUCGUGUUGACAUAUCUGUGCCCAUUCCAGUUAAAGUUGGCUUUGCAUAUGAGUUCUUAGAGUUCUCAGUUUGUUGCAUAACAACUUGGAAGCAAUGGCAGGCCCUUGAGCUGCCAGGUGGCAAGAAGUUAAGAUUGAGUUCAAUCCAUAUGGUUUUGGAUUUGUCAUUAUCUUUGUCUUGUGAUUAUGGUUUGACAAAUUCAUAUGGGUAGGAACUCAUACACCAUAUAAAUCUAAGUGUCAUAAGGUUUCUCUCCGAUUCAUGAAAAUGAUGGUGAGGAAACGCUUUCACUAAGUAGAUUUUACGAAGAUAUCAAUUGUGUUAUUUGCAUUUUCAAAAGUCGUUAGUGGAGCGCGUGUGGUUAACCGGCACACUAACAUGGACUUGUGAGAAAUGGCAAAUGCCUAAGCAAUUGAGACCAUGAUUACGGUAUCCCUUUUCAUGGUUCUUGAAAUUGCUUAGACACACAGGUGAGCUAUCUACGGAAAGGGUGUAUGAAUCUAAAUUUCAGACUGUCCAGCUGAUUUCUGAGUACAUGUCAAAGCUAGUGGGAGCAUAAGUGUUAUGCUAAUAAUCAUCAUGUUAGUGGGAGCAUGAUAAUUAUGAUAAGUAUUGCAAGUUAGCAAUGUUAAUUAUAGAAAACAAAAGUUUCAAUUGGGAAAAAGUUGUUUUGCUAUAAUUAAGGGAGAGGAAAUUAUGCUUCAUCUCAAAUCUAUAAGCUUAGAUCGUGAGGUUUUAAUCAUUUAGUCAAGGAUAUAUAUGAAUUUCAUGUUGGAAUGGCUCAACAUAAGGAAAUUCUGUAUAUGGGUCCAUUAUUUGCGUUCUAAAAUUCGAUUAUGAUUACGGCAUCCCUUUUCAUAAUCUGAAUUAUGAGAACUUGGCAAAUUGAAAUGGAAAUGUUAUAGCAAAAGACUGGUUUAGUCUUUAUGUGAGACAUCAUGAAUCGUGUCCCAUAUGCUUCGGAUAUAGGAUCGAUUACAUGUGCUAUAUUCAUCCUUUCUAAACAUUUUUCGAAUGUCUGGGGCAUUAAGAAGGGAAAAGGUCUAGAUUUGGAUAUGACUAAAAGGAUUAAUCAAUUGUCGAGGACAAUCAAAGGUUUACCAAAGAUUGGGUGCUCAAGGACAGUUGGAAGUAUAGUGAUAAUUCUGGAAGGACCAUAUUGACAUAAUCUGUAAGGAGGCAACUCUUGUUCAGAAGUGAUAGUCAAAAUGGAAUCUGGAAAU